GAGGAAUAUUGGUCAAUGGACGAGAGUCUGAACCAGCCAAGUCGCGUGAAGGAAGACGGCCCUAAGGGUUGUAAACUUCUUUUGUAGAGGAAUAAAAUGUUCUACGUGUAGGAUAUUGCAAGUACUUUACGAAUAAGGAUCGGCUAACUCCGUGCCAGCAGCCGCGGUAAUACGGAGGAUCCGAGCGUUAUCCGGAUUUAUUGGGUUUAAAGGGUGCGCAGGCGGCAUGUUAAGUCGGCGGUGAAAUUUUGCAGCUCAACUGUAAAAGAGCCUUCGAAACUGGCAAGCUUGAGUAUGGAUGAAGUAGGCGGAAUUUGUGGUGUAGCGGUGAAAUGCAUAGAUAUCACAAAGAACACCGAUUGCGCAGGCAGCUUACUAAACCAUAACUGACGCUCAGGCACGAAGGCGUGGGGAUCAAAC
rnacentral:rRNA from 1 species